rnacentral:lncRNA from 1 species
GUGUGUGUGUUCAUGAACGAGCAGGGAAAGCUCCCAUGGAGCCAAAACCCUAAACUUCAUCAAAAUCUCCAAAUUGAAAGGCUAAACGAAGCCCAAAUUCACAACCAAACAUGAAUUAACGAUCACCUUCACAAGGGGAUCAUAAGGGAUGAUGUCGAGAAUCAUGUCAAGAUGGAUGGGAGCGUUGAAGGCUAACGGGCUACGAAGACUCAAUCAAAUAAGCGAACGCAAAUACGGGCACGCAAGGUAAGUGAAUCCCGAACUUACACUUUGGAUGUAAAAUGUAUUGUAGUAUAAUGAUUAUUGUGAAUCAUGUGGGAAAGUAUGAUACAAUGGAAGUGAUAAGGUAAGUUUACGGUAAAUGUGUUGAAAAUGGUUAAGAAAUAGUUUCUAUUAAGUAUAGGUAAGAAAGAAGCUUACAUGAUGGUAUUAUGCAUAAAGAUGAAAUAAGUAGUUAUACGCAUAGGCAUGGGUUAGUUUGUAAGUAAGUAAUUGGGAAUCAUAGGAGAGUAUGACUAUAAACUCGUAAGUAUGGAGAAUUACGUGUAUGCAAAUUACAUGUAUAGACUUGUGUGUUUAGGAUUGUAAGUAAUAUUGUGUAGAAUGUAAGUUGUAAGCACAGGUACAAAUAGAAAGGGUAUGUAUGCAUGAAUUGGAAUUUAGUUAUAUGUACAAAUGAGUGAGACUUGUUAUGCAUAUACUUGGAUAUGUUCGUACGAAUGAAAUCUAAUGAUGCUAACCGUUUUCCCUAUUUAGAAUGAAAUAAGGAAUGCAGGUAUACUAGUGUUGGAAGUUGAAGGUAGGCGCCGAAAUCCAAUGCGGGUGGUUUGAACGGAUGGAUGAAUGGACUAACAUAAGCGAAAGCAUGACAUGUUAAUGCCUAAUUAUGCAUGUUUAAAUUUUAUAUAUGAUGACACCGGUUGCUAAUGAUGUGAUUGUACGUGGUGUCUGCAGGUUGUACAGAACGGUGGAUUCUCAUCAUGAAGUGUAAAAGGUGAAGAUCGAGUCAAGAGAUGGAUUGUACAUGUGGGUGCAUGGUCACGAAAUUUAAUAGUAGUAUGUCCGAUUUUUAAAAAUUUUUAGAAAGCAUUAGGUAGCGUUUGGUAUGAAUGAAUAGAAGGCGGAAUGGAAUGGAUCAUUCCGAUUGAAUAAAAAAAGACAUGUUUGGUAAUCACGUGGUAAUGGAAUGGAGCAUUCCACAAGGAAUGUAAACCUUCCAAAUAUAAAAAUUUUCAUUCAUUUGUAAUGUGGUGUUUUUUUUUCCAUUCCUUCAAAGAAUAGAACAAAUAUAUUAUU